rnacentral:rRNA from 1 species
AUGAGCCAAGUUUCGGAGUCUCUUUAAAGGACUUCAAGCAAGAUUAAACUGAAGAGUUUGAUCAUGGCUCAGAUUGAACGCUGGCGGCAGGCUUAACACAUGCAAGUCGAGCGGUAACAGGAGAAGCUUGCUUCUCGCUGACGAGCGGCGGACGGGUGAGUAAUACUUAGGAAUCUACCUAGUAGUGGGGGAUAGCUCGGGGAAACUCGAAUUAAUACCGCAUACGACCUACGGGAGAAAGGGGGCAACUUGUUGCUCUCGCUAUUAGAUGAGCCUAAGUCGGAUUAGCUAGAUGGUGGGGUAAAGGCCUACCAUGGCGACGAUCUGUAGCUGGUCUGAGAGGAUGAUCAGCCACACCGGGACUGAGACACGGCCCGGACUCCUACGGGAGGCAGCAGUGGGGAAUAUUGGACAAUGGGGGCAACCCUGAUCCAGCCAUGCCGCGUGUGUGAAGAAGGCCUUUUGGUUGUAAAGCACUUUAAGCAGUGAAGAAGACUCCAUGGUUAAUACCCAUGGACGAUGACAUUAGCUGCAGAAUAAGCACCGGCUAACUCUGUGCCAGCAGCCGCGGUAAU